AAGCUCGUAGUUGAAUUUCGGGGUUAGUAGGUUGGUCAUGCCUCCGGUAUGUACUGAUCUCACUGAUUCCUCCUUCCUUAUGAACCGUAAUGCCAUUAAUUUGGUGUUGCGGGGAAUUUGGACUGUUACUUUGAAAAAAUUAGAGUGUUUAAAGCAGGCUAACGCUUGAAUACAUUAGCAUGGAAUAAUGAAAUAGGACGUUCGAUCUUAUUUUGUUGGUUUCUAGGAUUGACGUAAUGAUUAAUAGGGAUAGUUGGG
rnacentral:rRNA from 1 species